rnacentral:rRNA from 1 species
GUGCACCAGUCGCGAAACCUCCGCAAUACACGAAAGUGUGACGGGGCCAUCCCGAGUGCCGUCCGCUGAGGACGGCUUUUCCCCAGUGCACAUAGCUGGGGGAAUAAGGAGAGGGCAAGCCUGGUGUCAGCCGCCGCGGUAAUACCAGCUCUCCGAGUGGUGGGGACGCUUAUUGGGCCUAAAGCAUCCGUAGCCGGCUAGGCAAGUCCUCCGUUAAAUCCAACGAUUCAAUCGUUGGGCUGCGGGGGAUACUGUCCAGCUUGGGGGGCGGGAGAGGCCGACGGUAUUCCCGGGGUAGGGGUGAAAUCCUAUAAUCCCGGGAGGACCACCAGUGGCGAAGGCUGUCGGCUAGAACGCGCCCGACGGUGAGGGGUGAAAGCGUGGGGGAGCGAACCGGAUUAGAUACCCCGGUAGU